GUGGUCGCAUGGCAGCAUAUAUACUAAAACUGGAACAAAACAGAGAAGGUUAGCAUGGCCCCUGUGCAAGGAUGACAUGCAAAUUCGUAAGCGUUCCAUAUUUUA